rnacentral:rRNA from 1 species
CUGGAAAGUCCGACGGUACAGGGUGAUAGUCCCGUACACCAAAAUGCACAGGUUGUGAACUCGAAGAGUAGGGCGGGACACGUGGUAUCCUGUCUGAAUAUGGGGGGACCAUCCUCCAAGGCUAAAUACUCCUGACUGACCGAUAGUGAACCAGUACCGUGAGGGAAAGGCGAAAAGAACCCCGGCGAGGGGAGUGAAAAAGAACCUGAAACCGUGUACGUACAAGCAGUGGGAGCCUCUUUAUGGGGUGACUGCGUACCUUUUGUAUAAUGGGUCAGCGACUUAUAUUCUGUAGCAAGGUUAACCGUAUAGGGGAGCCGAAGGGAAACCGAGUCUUAACUGGGCGUUAAGUUGCAGGGUAUAGACCCGAAACCCGGUGAUCUAGCCAUGGGCAGGUUGAAGGUUGGGUAACACUAACUGGAGGACCGAACCGACUAAUGUUGAAAAAUUAGCGGAUGACUUGUGGCUGGGGGUGAAAGGCCAAUCAAACCGGGAGAUAGCUGGUUCUCCCCGAAAGCU